UACCAGGAAACCACUCGCCUCCAGCCCUCCACGAAGGUACGAACUAUAAAUCACGGCAAGCAACGUCCAUUGUCGUCGCCGAUAGAAGGAGAACGCUGCUCCGGUGGCACGCACGGGGGAACCACUCAACAUCUCACCUCAUUGAUUCUCGAAUUCAGGUCGUCAGCAAGAAACAAUCAGGUCUUCUGAAGUCUGUUAUGCAUUUGGAAUCAGAGUUGAGGUCUGACUUGGGCCUGCUGAUGCGAUGCUGCUCCAACUGUUGUUCAAGACUUGAAUUUUUUUUAAUGACAAAUAUAUCUUCUUUACUAAAAAAAUAAGUAAGUGAAUGUAGUUGUUAUUUGUAAAGUUCAAUUUACCCUAAACCCUAUACCCAAUACUCUAUACCCAAUAAUUGUUAAACUUUCUAUUUGUUGUUGAUUGUAUAAUUUUACGUGUUUUA